CUGCUGCCUUCCGUAGGAGUUUGGGCCGUGUCUCAGUCCCAAUGUGGCCGUUCACCCUCUCAGGCCGGCUACUGAUCGUCGCUUUGGUGGGCCGUUACCCCGCCAACUGGAUAAUCAGACGCGGAUCCAUCGUAUACCACCGGAGUUUUUCACACUGUUCCAUGCGGAACCGUGCGCUUAUGCGGUAUUAGCACCUAUUUCUAAGUGUUAUCCCCCUGUAUACGGCAGGUUAUCCACGCGUUACUCACCCGUCCGCCACUAACCCA
rnacentral:rRNA from 1 species